rnacentral:rRNA from 1 species
UACGAGGGGUGCAAGCGUUGCUCGGAAUUAUUGGGCGUAAAGGGUUGGUAGGUGGUCUUGUUUGUCUAGGGGUGAAAUCCCAUGGCUUAACUGUGGAAGUGCCCCUAGAAAACGGCAAGGCUAGAGUCCUAGAGGGGGUUUGUGGAAUUCCCGGUGUAGCGGUGAAAUUCGUAGAUAUCGGGAGGAACACCAGUGGCGAAGGCGCUGACCUGGACGAUGAUUGACGCUGAGGCGCGAAAGCGUGGGGAGCAAACAGG